rnacentral:rRNA from 1 species
GAUGAACGCUAGCGGGAGGCCUAACACAUGCAAGCCGAGCGGUAUUUGUCCUUCGGGACAGAGAGAGCGGCGUACGGGUGCGGAACACGUGUGCAACCUGCCUUUAUCUGGGGGAUAGCCUUUCGAAAGGAAGAUUAAUACCCCAUAAUAUAUCGAAUGGCAUCAUUCGAUAUUGAAAACUCCGGUGGAUAGAGAUGGGCACGCGCAAGAUUAGAUAGUUGGUGAGGUAACGGCUCACCAAGUCAGUGAUCUUUAGGGGGCCUGAGAGGGUGAUCCCCCACACUGGUACUGAGACACGGACCAGACUCCUACGGGAGGCAGCAGUGAGGAAUAUUGGACAAUGGGUGAGAGCCUGAUCCAGCCAUCCCGCGUGAAGGACUAAGGCCCUAUGGGUUGUAAACUUCUUUUAUACUGGGAUAAACCUACUUACGCGUAAGUAGCUGAAGGUACAGUAUGAAUAAGCACCGGCUAACUCCGUG